rnacentral:rRNA from 1 species
AUGGCUUCCUCUUCGUCCUCAAGGCUGCUCGCGGCGGCGGUGCUGGCGGCGCUGCUCGCCGGCGCGAUGUGCGGCGUGAAGGUGGCCUUCACGGUGGAGAAGGGGUCCGGCGCCAAGAAGCUGGUGCUGAAGAUCGACUACGCCAGACCAGGCGACAGCCUCGCCGAGGUGGAGCUCCGGCAGCACGGCUCGGAGGAGUGGCAGCCCUUGACCAAGAAGGGUGGCUUCUGGGAGGUCUCGUCCACCAAAGACCUCGUCGGCCCCUUCAACUUCCGCUUCAUGUCCGAGAACGGCAUGAGGAACGUCUUCGACGAGGUCUUCUCCACCGAUUUCAAGAUCGGCGAAACCUACGCCCCGGAAAAGUGA